UUAAAAGACUUCCGGCUUCUUCAAGGCGCGAGGCCAGUUCCGCUGAAGAAAUUUCCCGCGCAGAGUAUGCGCGGUUUGCAAGUAGUACCAGUGAAGAUGGAGGUACUUAGGAAAACAGAUUGUAGAUUCUGAUGAGAAUUAAUAAAAAACGCCUAAUAACAAUCGAAUAUUGGGUUUACCUUUCAACCGAGAUAUCCCUGGUUCUACUAUCUCCAACACAUUAUACAUUUCUCUACAAGCAUCCAACAUU